UACGUUGUAGUGCGAAGUAGAGUAAACUGGUGUUUAAUGUUGAUGGUUUCUAGCUAAUUUUUUCGUUCAAAUAAUAGCAUUGAUUUUGGAUAUAGGCCUAUUAUUAAAAUGGCCAAGUAUUUGGUACUUAUUUUGACGUUGUCUGUUUACCUAGCAUGUACAAGCGCCAACAGAUGUCGGUGCAAAAGCUACAACCCAUCGAUGCUGAGACAAUACUGCAGUCUUCGUGCCCCAACCCGCUGCCCUGGUGGCACCCACAAAAUAUCAGAUAUGUGUCAAUGCUGUAAAGUGUGUCCGAAGAUGGUCGGCCAGUCAUGCAUGGGUCCAUAUGGUGUUCUCGGGGCGUGUAAGUCUGGGUUAACGUGCACAUCCAGGAAAGGUCACCCUAUUCCAUACACAUUUGGCUUAACGUCCAGGGGAAGGUGUCGAAAUUAAGAAAGGUUGUCAUAUUAGAUGUCUAGUCUUCAAUCUAAGAAAAACACAUAGGCCUACGAUUUUUGGAGGUACAACUGAUGAGAACUGUCAUUCGUGGAGAAGAGACCGUGGUGUUAAUCACAACGCAUAAUCGUAACCUGUCUUAGUUACAAAUAUCAAAUUAUCAAAGAUAUUUGUGAUACGCAAUGGGAGUUUUCAACACAGGUUAUAUUUCUGUUAUAAAAUCUAAAAAUGGUCAUACCGUUUUUGAAAAUUCCUUGUGUAAAGACAGUAUAGUCAAAGUAAUAUUCAAUAUUCAACGAAAUAUAUUUUCAAUAGUUCUACCAGUUUUGAUAAAAGUUAAUCACAAUACACAAUACACAAUACACUUUCAAUCAAAUGAGAAAGUGAAAAUAUCAAUUUCAACGCUAUAUGUAUUUUUUUCUUUGUAUAAAUAUAGAUUUACGAAAUUUAUUUAAUAGAUUUGUAUCAUUAUUAAAAUUUAAUAAACCGUGUUUAUCGGGACAUAGACUUAUAGCCAUAGAUUUUAAUAUUGAAUGGUACUUGAUUGAAUGGUUAUUCGGGACAUUUUUGUAAAGUAUGCAUCCCUAUUAAAGUUUCAGUGUAUUCGGAAGGUAUCCGCCGAAUCGAUAGUCAUGAGAGUUUAAAACCAGAGUAUAGCGAAAGUAUAUUAUUAGAAAAUCGUUAAAAUGUUGUUUCGGCUACGGUACAUCAGUGUAGGACAUGGAAUACAAAGGUAUAAACCCCUGGUUCUUAAUAGGCGGCGGGCCAAAUUUGGCUCAUGGAGCCCUUAAAUCCGGCCGUGUACAAACAUGAAAUUAAAACUACUAAUAACAAAAUUAAAGUAAAUCAUUUGAUAAAUAAUGUCUUCAUAUGUGAAGACAAAAACGCAACCCCUAUUGGAAAAAAUAAUAUUAAUUAGCAUUAGGCAAAAAAGAGCGGAAUCUUGUUAGACCUAUGUUUAAUAUAUUUGGUCAAGAUUUAUCCAAUGUUUCUAUAAUUAAUUAAUUUAAGAUAAUUAUUUAAAAUAAAAGAGUUCGUUUUUGUAUUAGUUUAUCCACAGAGAAAUUUCUGUACUUUGGGAAACGGGUCUUUUGUCUUUGGUAUCAAAACUGUUGCUUUUCUGUACAUGUAAUAUUAUUAUAAAAUGUGAAAAAUGUCUACUAACAACAUUUAAAAAAGAUCACGCGUGUGAAUAUGGCUCCUAUUGUAUAGAAGAUAUAAAGUGCAAGUUAGGUUUGUAAGCAAGCUUAUAUAAUUAAACACUAGUCUUUGAGAUCUAAAACACCUAGUCUUUGAGAUCUAAAAAAAAACAUGUUAAACAACUACUAUCAUCAACAAACGCCAGAUAUUAAUUAAGUUCCCCCAGCUAUUAUUCCCUGGCUACCUUCAAAUAUUAUUUAUAUAUAUUUGGAUUUUUAAAAUUUUUUCUACAUAAAUUAAUUAGUGUCUUGUCUUUGUAAAUUUACAUCAUAAAGGUGUGCCGAUGAUGCAAAAGCUUUAUCCAAUCAAUUGACUGAUUGACUUUUGAAGCAUUUGCAAUACGGUACUAAUUAAGCAAAAGACACAUUGUAAAAUGUUAUUUUAAAAUAUUUGCAUCCAAGCUCACAUAAGAAAUAGAGGAAGGAAAACAGGAAACUUCUUUUAAACAUACCUGCUUCUUUGGCCUUCAAAUAUCACAAAUAUUUCCGGCCUAGUCAUUCUAUAUAUACACACACACACCCAUAUUUGCCGACAUCAGCUAAUACUCAAACAAGGAGCGACAAUAUUGUUUCUGGUAAGGAGCGACAGAAGGAAGGAUGCGAAUAUUUUAUCAUUACAGUAGCACGUCUGCUCCUUUACUAUACUUUUGCCCUUACGUUCCUAUUAGUGAUUCUCUUCUACGAUUAUUACGCCUACUUUCAUUUCAAAUUCUCGGUUACGGUUGUUGGUAACAUAGGUCCAUUUCAUUAAAUAUAUUUAAUUUAAUUAAUGUUAAUUGACUUAUUUAACUAUCAGUAUUAACAUUAUGUUAAUUUACCGUUAUAUAACUUAUGUAUAUUAUAUCAUUUUGUUAAUGUUUGUAUUAAUAACGUUUUUAUGAAUGCAAUUUCUUAUUGUACUGUAUUAACAUUGUCUUUAUCUUGAGGCAGAAACAACUAUGGUUUAACAGAAUACUGAUAUAUUUUUUUUAAUUUAAAGUUUACAAAAUUGCAAUGUUUGCAGUUCCAUAAAUAUUGUUCUUAGCAAAACGAAAAGUGGAAUUUGAAAUUACAAUUACCAAAAACAUUAUAACGAGUUGCUUCAUGACUCAGAUAUUAUCUUCGGCCCGUGAGAUCAACUCAAAAAAUAUGUUGGCCAUUUAAACAAAUGAAGAACCACGGGUUUAAACAGGAGUAGGCCUAUUCAUCCAAGGCUAUUCCCAGUAUUGGUCCACUAUUUACUUUAAAUUACGCACAUUUUGAAUGGAACAGCUUUCACCGAAGAUAUAAAAUAAUGCAUUUAGGAAAAUUAAUAUAAAUGUAUUCAAUGUUUUAAAAUUCAUGCAAAUAUAUUAUGUUCAAAGUGUUUGAACAAAUAGGUUAAUGUAUGAGACAUAGGUCAAGGAGAAAACAUUUCUUAUAACCGAUGUAUAUUUAUGUAAAAAUUGAAAUAAUUAACGGACAUAAAUAAAUUCAAUGACAUUGUGCUUGCUUAUCUGUAUAUUAAAGGCAAAGCAACUACAGUA